rnacentral:rRNA from 1 species
UGACCUCAGAUCAGGA